rnacentral:tRNA from 2 species
GCGGGCGUAGCUCAAUGGUAGAGCCCCAGCCUUCCAAGCUGGUCGUGAGGGUUCGAUCCCCUUCGCCCGCU